UACGGGGGGAGCAAGCGUUGUUCGGAUUCAUUGGGCGUAAAGGGUGCGUAGGUGGCGCUGUAAGUCGGGUGUGAAAUUUCGAGGCUUAACCUCGAAACUGCAUUCGAUACUGCGGUGCUUGAGGACUGGAGAGGAGACUGGAAUUCAUGGUGUAGCAGUGAAAUGCGUAGAGAUCAUGAGGAAGACCAGUGGCGAAGGCGGGUCUCUGGACAGUUCCUGACACUGAGGCACGAAGGCCAGGGGAGCAAACGGG
rnacentral:rRNA from 1 species